AGCGUAGGUGGCCUAACAUGUCAACUGUGAAAACCCGGAGCUCAACUCCGGACUUGCAGUUGAAACUGGUAGGCUUGAGGACGGUAGAGGAAGACGGAACUGCCAGUGUAGGGGUAAAAUCCUUAGAUAUUGGCAGGAACGCCGGUGACGAAGGUGGUUUUCUGGGCCGGUUCUGACACUGAUGCUCGAAAGCCGGGGGAGCGAACG
rnacentral:rRNA from 1 species